AUAAAAAAAUAGUUAAAAUAAUUCAUAAGCGUAUAUUGAUCAUCUUAUAUUAGUCAGGGACCAAAAACAAAACAAACUCAAACAUUAGGGACGUCCCGAGUUAAAAAUUAUCUUCAAGAACCAACCAUGUAGACUACCUCAAACCAUAGGGACCAUUCGUGUAAUUUACCCUUAAUAGAAUUUUUUUUUUGUUAGGAUGAUGGUUUAUAUGGUUUCAUUUUCAUGUGUUUUUAUCAAUGGCUUACGAAAAAUGAUGUUUAUACCAUUUUAUUUUAUUUCUCUUUAAAUACAAUUUAGAGUAAAUUAUACAAAUGUUCCAUAUGGUUUGGGUUAUUUGUGUGUUUGGUCUUUAACUUUUUUUUUUAAUUCGAAAAAUCCCUAUAAUUUGAUUUUGUUUCACGUAAAAUCCAUGACACACCUAAAAUUACUAUUAUAGCCUUUCUUAAUCUUUUUUUUAAUUGUAUUUGAUGGUCUGUGUUUUAUAUGUAUACAUUCUUGAAAACUUUAAAUUUAUAACCCAUAUCUAUUACUAAACUAAAACACAAAUUAGACAGUGUACCAAGUCGCGUAGUAGUGUAGUAAAGUAAGUACGGGAUCGAACACAGGGAAUGGAGUCAAUUUGGAAAUUAAAAUUGCUAAAACUUAAUCUAAUUAUUAAAAUAAAACUAAUGAAAAUAUGUUUUUAUCUAAUUUUGGAAGUUUAGGAAAAAAAACUUAAUUAACUAUUAACUAGAAAGCAACUAAAAACAAGUUUUAACAAGAGAAUUAAGACAUUUUCGUUUAGCUUCGAAUCACCUUCCUUUCCUACUAGUAAUUUCGACUACGGAUUACUUCUGUUGAUUACCAACCACUAAUUGUCAUGGUUAGGCUAAUUAGCUUGCUUUAAUUUAUGACACUUAAUCGCAAUGGUCAUGUAGACUAAGGACACUUAAUUGAUUUUAUUGAAUGUUUGGACUAUGAAUUACUAGAUAUAGGUUUGUCUUCCUAUGGUCAAUUCGAACAAACUAGCAAUUAUUAUGGUUAAAUAAUGCUCUCUAACACAGUUAAUCAACUUACUUUAUUACCUAUACUAUGACAUGGUCAAUCUCUAGCUCUAGCAAUUUAAUGGUCAUGAACUACUAGGAAUACAAAUUCAUGCAAUCAAUGGCCAGUUAACUACAUAGAAUUUAAAGGCAAGGUAAUAGAGAUAGAAACAUGAACAUGUAAGGGUUAAUCUAGCAAACAUAAGUAAAAACCAACAUUAAUAAUCCACAUAUCUAAUGUUAAUUCAUAGUAAAUUUGGUCCAUCUACACUAAACGAAAGCUAAGGGUAUUAGCCCAUGAUUGUAAUAGAAAAACAACUAAUCAAAUAGUACAUUAAACUAAACAUCAUGCAAACCGAAUGCUUGAGUCAAUUCGUUGCUCAUUACUCAUAUUCUCUCUUUCUCCUGGUCGAAAUCAGGUCUUCUAGGGUUUCUCCAAAAGUAUUCUCCCCAAAAAUAUUUUUCUUAUGGUCUUCGAAUUCAUCCUUUAUAUAGGAGGAAAAAUCAUCAUAAAUUAACCACCACGUCGUGGCCAGUUGAUUGUCACCUCGUGGUAAAAGUUUCCUUAUCGUAAUCGGCAAGGUAUUCUUUCUUAAUCGGGAAUCUUCCAAGCGCACGCCAUGGGCCAGAUUUUACCAAGUCAUGGUUAUCACCUUGAGACACACUUUUGAGGCUUCUAUGUUCUUUAUUCACAAACCUCACCCUCCAACUUCCAAUUUUGUCCAUUUUGGUCCCUUUUUUUAAAAAUGUCGUCUUCUGGCUGAAAUAUAUAAUUUAUACAAGUAAGUACCAAAAGUCCUUGUAUUUAGACCUAAACACCACUAAAAUAUAAUGAAAUAAUUCAGAAAAAUAUGUAUAAAUAUUACAAUAUCAUUAUCCGUGUCCAAAGCAGUGAAGCCCCUUAAUUGGAAACUGGGUUGCUAAGGAGGUUGUUGUUAUCUCUUCAGGGAGGGAUUUGUUAUCUCUUCAGGGAGGGAUUGAACCCAUGUCCAUUGGGUGUUAUGGCAUAAUGUCUUAUUGGAUGUCACUUCCAGUUGCACCAAACCGCCAUUCAAAAAAAAACACUUCCUCUCCCCCGAGAAUGUUAAAAAUUUGGUGCAAACCCAAUUGCUUCACCAUAGGCCCAUACACCAUUGAACACCAUCCAACACCACCGACGACCAUACAUUACUAACAUCGUAACCAUAUACCGCUAACCACCAACCACCAUAUACCACUAACCACCAUCCAACACCACUGACGAUGACAACUGCAUCCUCCCCGGUUAGAAAAUCAGACGACAUAAAACUAAAACCAAAAAGUAGUGAUUAAUCCAUAAAUCAAACACCAAACUCAGCAUUACUUUCAACCUUAAAAACCAUCACUGAUAAUUCCUCAUUGAUGCAAAAUUGAACACAAAAACAAUGAUAUCUAAAGAUAAUGGGAAACUAAAAACCAUCGAAAAAUAAUCUUGAGGACCUGCAAAAAUUAUCUUCUAUAAACCAAAAAGUGAUAUGAGCAAGAACAACAUCCACAAUGAAAAAAAAUGAUUUUAUGUAAUGAAUAUAUCUUGAAAUUAUUUGAGAAAUGAAUAGAUCUUGAAGAUGAAACUCCCAUAACACCCAUAUCCUUCCUACUUAACUACUAUAGUGAUAGUUUUCAUAUAUAUAUAUAUAUAUAUANNNNNNNNNNNNNNNCAAUCGUUAGUAUCUAUUGGGUUGGAAUCUAUGGAGUCAAAAUCGUAAUUGUCGAAAUCACAGGUGUCGAAAUCGAUGACAUCUACUAGAUCAAAUUGUUGGCAUAUAUUGGUGUCGAAAUCCACUACUUGAUCAUCCUUUCCAUUAAACACUUAAUCCCUUAAGGACUUUUCACCCAAACUCAGAUCUAGCCUCAAAACAUUGUCUUAAGUCAUAAAGUUUCCCACCUUUAUGACUUUCCAUGGAUAGGGAAGGUCCAAAAGCUAAAACCUUAACUUAUUAAUCCAUUAAUACAUUACAACUCUUGCAUGGAAGGGAUAGAAGUACAAAGAUCACAUUUUUAUGGUUCCUAAUAGCUCCAUAAUAGAUAAAGUUUCCAACUUUAUUCAUUAGAAUGGUCCCAAUAAACAAGAUCUAGUCUUUAAGUCUCAAAGAGACCAAAAGUGCAUCUUUUUCAACUUAAUCCAUUAAGUCCAAGCCUCCAACUUUCAGAUCUGAAUCAAUAUGAUGUUUAGAUGGAUAAAGUUUUCAACUUUAUCCAUAACAAGGUCACAAACUUUCAAGAUCUAAACAUUAUGCACUUAAAGUGACCAAAAGUUCAUAACACCCAAAACUAGCUAGAUCUAACAAUUUCAUCAUCAAGAUUCAAACUUUAUAUCUCCAGAAGAAAGAUCAAGGUGAACAAGGUCUGGAUCUACAAGUUCCAAUGCAACCAAUGGUUCUUAAAUGAGUUCCUUGUUCUUCAAGGUGCACCAAGAACACUCCAAAGUACUUACAAACACCUUCUUUUUGCUCACAAUGCUCAUACUAGGGUUAGGGUUUCAAGAGAGAGUGUUGGAGAGGUAGAAGCUGAGAAUAGAGUGGGUUUGGGGAAGUUAAGGAGCUUAAAUAAGGCUCAAACCACAAAAAUAGUGUUUUGACACUGAUCACGUACUCCCAACGUACUCCUACUACGCUCAGCAUACUAGGGAUGCCCCGGUACGCCCAGCGUACACGGCUAACCCAAAAAUCAUCAUAACUUCAAACUGUCAUAACUUCUUCGUUCCAAAUCCAUUUUCAACGUUCUUUAUAUCCACAGCAAGGUGUUGAAUAGUUCUACAAUAUUAUCUAAAAAUCCUGGGCUAAAAGCUUCUUGAACGAAAAUCCAUAUUUCAUGCAAGAACCCGACCUAUGACUUUUCUCUUUUUACCCUUCGGCGCGAAACACAAUUUAAGGGUUAGAUCUCUCAACCAUCAUUACAUCCUUCCAAAAGGUCUAUACUUAGCUCCUUAAGGCCCAAAGUGUUUACAUAAUCGACUUCCGGCCUACGACCCUGAAAUAAGAAAUGACGGGAAACAGGAUGUUACAUAAAUUUUGGGACGUUACAAAUUUGCAAACUAUUCUCAUACCAACAAUCAAAAUGUAAAUACCUGGAAAUCGAGGUGCUACAUAACAUUUGGUGAAUUAUCAUUGGAUCAACAUACUCGUCAUGGAAGUGUUUGAUUACAUUUCCUUUGACGAUUUGGGUGAUUUUAAUCCACAAACCAUGUUUGAGUUGUACCUUAGUUAUGAAACUUAAUAAUGAUUGCAAAUAUAGGUUAACAAUAGCAAUUAGUGAUUCAUAAUUGAUCUAUAUUAUGAUUUUAUAGUUUUCCUUUGAAGUUAUAAAUAGAAUUGAUUAUUCCAAUGUUGAAUCAACAUUGGAAUGGAAUAAGAGAACUGAAUACAAUGUUGAGUUUCAAAAUAUUGAAAUGAUUUUGAUGAAUGUAAUAAAUCAUGUUAAACUAAAGUACUAAUUCCACCACUAUGUCUCUUGCUAAUUUCACAUUGAUAUGUCAUUGUUGGCUUUGCAAUGAAUUUCCAAUGAAAAUUUAUGUUGUUGAUUUCUAUGUUUCUAGUAGGGGUUAGCACCGUGCGUUUUUUGGACCAAAUUGAACCACAAUUUGUAGUUAUCUAUCGAGAGAAACUAAAAUUUGUGGUUUUGAUUCAGUGCUUCUUGCGAUUAUUUCGGUAUGGUUUUGAUUUUUAAUCGAAAAAUAAGAUGGUGCAGUUUUUCAUGUCCAAACCAAAAUUUUCAAUUGACUUUCUUUUAUUUGCAAAAUUUUGUUGACUUUCAUUUAUUUCAAGAUUUUUGUUGCAAAUGAUCACCAUUUUGGUCCAUUUUAUUCUUGCAAGUUAAUAUUUGUUUCAUUUCAUUCAACCAGAAUGUCUAACAGUUAAAUAAAUAUCAUUGAAAAGUGAAAAAUGGUCUUUUUUUGAAAAAAAAAUAUAUUAAAUAAAUAAUAUAUAAAUUCGAUGUGUAAUAAAUAAUGAUGCGGUUAUUUCAGUUUUUGCGGUGCAGGUAUAUGGUAUAAAACCGAACCACACCAAAAUUUGUGUUUUUUAAAAAUUUAAAACCGCAUCAUUGGUUUUUCGAUUAUUUUGCGAUUUUUUUGGUUUUCGGUUCGAUUUUUGUUCAUCCUUAGUCACUAGUAAGUAAACAAAAUUGCAGACCUUUCACUACACGAGAUGUGCAGUUGCACAACCAACACUUUCUCAAAACCGACCCAAAAAAGAAUAAAAUGUUGAUAAAUAUGUUGUAUGGAUUUUAUCUCCCUAUCUAAUAAACAAAACCUGUUGUCCACGUGUCCUAUCAAAAAUUCAUUCUUCUGCCCAUGUUAAAUCCCAGUUUUACCCCUACUUUGUUAAACAUGCAUUACAUAAGGAAAUUAGAUUACAUAUGGAAAUUAGAUUAGAUAUGGAAAUACGGAAAUAUGGCAAAUUGAAAUUUGGAAAAUGGAAUAUUGAUAGAUAUCUUAUUAUGGUAUGAUUAUCAAUCGUAUCCCUUGCAUUUAAUUUUGAGGAUUAUGUCGAUUUGAUCGUAUUAUGCUCAAUAUAUACUUGAUUCAUACAAUAUGAAUCAUUCUUUAUAGCAUCGUCUUCCAACAAUCAAGCAUCAUCGACAAUCAACGACUUUAAUUCUUCGGUAAAUUUCUGCUUCUCAGUUCUGCUUCUCAAUGUCUGUGUUAAUCAUAAUUGAAAAUUAUUUUUGUUACUUAAUGUGUAUGCGUGUGUGUGACAAUUUAACUGAUACCUUAUUCGUAUUUCACUAUGAGAUACCGUCAUAAAUAAGAACGAUCAAAAGAACAAUUAAAAACUUAUUUAACAAUCAUAAUUCGUCUUAAUAUGGUUCUGUAUAGGUUUAAUUUGCGCAUUAGAUAACAAAAAUUGAUUUUUCAAGUCAACUAUAUACAAUUUUCAUUCAUUUUAUGUUAGUAGUUUUAUGAUUUCAUCUUAAAUUCUAUAAUCAUCUAACAUCUCUGUAUCUAAUAAACAUCACUAUUUUGCAAAUGUAAAUUACCGAUUUUACCCCUUCUUUGUUUCACUAAGGCUGUCAAAUUCUCUGUAAUCUUCAUUUUCUAAACCUGAUAUGCUUGAUAUCAGAGACUCUAGGAGAAGCAGUAUACUGAAAUUGAUUUUUCAAGUCUACCUUAUUCACUCGUAUUGGCUUCCCAUACAGCUUAAUCGUGUUUAUAACUUUUAUUGCCUGCAAAUUUUAACAUCUUUAGAUAUUAAUUCCAAUUGUUAAGCAAUCUUUGUAAUUAUUAUGACUCUUAAUCAUUAACAACUAGAUUGACAGAAGAAUUACAGCAACAAACACUACUUACAUAAUCAGCAUCUUCUUCACUUCUGAACACUACAAAGCCAUAGCCUUGGUGGAGAUUAGUUACUCUAUCUUUAGGAACAUACACGUUAACUGAAGAAUAAGAAGAAAAAAUAUAAAUACAAAUUCAAGAUUAACCUUUGUAUGAUUUGUUUAAGCACUAAUUAAACCACACAAAAAAAAUGCAAAAGCAGAAGGAAACAAAAAUGUUUUUAGACACUACAUUACAAAAAAAAAGGGUAUAUGCAAAUGACGAAAAUGCCCUCACCAAACUUAUAGAAGAUAACUUUACAAAGCUUGUGUCGUAUCAUGUGGUUCCAUGGGAUAUGUGUGUCUAUUGAUGGUUUAAGAGAAAAAACAAUUAUGUUUUUAAAGAGUUUUAUUACCAAUAUAUGUUUUUAAUGUCUGUGUUGUUUUUUUCCAAUCAGUUUCUGCUUCUCAAUGUGUAUGCGUGUGUUAAUCAUAAUCAAAUUUUGUUUCUUCUUCUUAAUGUGUAUGCGUGUUUGUGACUGCUUUUUUUUGUAUAAUAUUUUAAGUUUUAUAUAUAUGUUAUCAUGAGGUUUGUGAUACAAUAUUUUACACAAUGAGCAAAACUGUCUUCAUGUGAGUUAUCAUUAAAUAGACUCUUCAUCAGUUGAAGUAUAUUGGUAAAUGAUAUGUUUAACUUGAUUGUCAUCUUCCAUUAUACAUGCGGUAGCAUCACAUGGCCUAAUAAUAAUGUGGUGUUGUGCUAAUGAAAAAGACAAUAGAAAAAUGACUGAAAGAAUAUGAUGAAAACCACAAUAAUGAAAGAAAUGUGAAAAUCACAAGUCAUGAUUGAUACAGAAUAAUUUGACGUGGUCCUUCUCUAACUCCUCCAGCUAGCUGUUAAGUUGCUUAUGUACAAUGCUCUUGAACUCAUUGAUAAGUCAUGUCAUACAUUCAUUGACUUGCUUUACAACAGGUGGAUACCUAACUAAUUGGGAGAUGUAUGCAUUUAUAGAUCAAUGGUUUUAGAUGAUUGAUUUGUGGGUGGUGAUAAAUCCCAUCUUACAUGCAAGUGUCUAUAUGGUGUGUUACAAUAUCUAUCUCAUAUGAUCUUUGUUCAUGAAACUAAUGUUUGGGAUUUGUUCUAGAAACAUCAAGAAAGUAGGUGUUUGUUCUCCGAAUUCUGUCAGAUUUGGCAGGAAUUAGAAAUAAAUUCAAUUAUGAAUGAUGUACAAGGGUAUAUAGUUUCUGUUAGCCUGUUGUUUCACUUAUCAUUAUUAUUUUUAAUUAUAAAUGAUGUACAGGGGUAUAUAGUUUAUGUUAGCAUGUUUCUUUCAGUUUUUGUUUUCUUUGUAUGAAUGUUUGAAUAUAACCAUAUUGCAUUAUUGAGUUUGUUCUUAUAUUAUUAGUACUCCAUAGACAUAAUGGUAAUUUUAUUUCUGUUUAUAAUUUUUGUGUGUACUUUUUUGUUAUAGUGACAAUGGCAGAUAGAAACAUCACUUUGAUUAAAUACUUGGACAACAUGAAGGAUGAUUACACACUAAAAGUGUCUAUCAUCCGGCUGUGGAGAUCACUUUCAGAUGGCAACCCCACUAUUGUCAAAUCAAUUGAGAUGAUACUCAUGGAUGAAAUGGUAAAAUCUACUAUUAUAAUAGCAUUAUUCAAAAUCAUUUUUUUGUUUAUUAGGGAGAUUCCAAUAAUAUUAUUCAAAAUCAUCCCCCCUAACAGUAUCCUUUCCAGCAAUGCUUAACUUUAUCUGAAAUAAUAAACAUUAUGCAUAUAGAAACAAUGUAAAAUAUCAGAGACUCUAGGAGAAGCAGUAUAUUGAAUUUUUUUUUGUUGUCUUCGAGUAAAUCUUAAAUGAAAACUUAUACAAUUUUAACCGGUAACACAAUAUUUAGCUUAAAUUCUUAUACAAUUCAAAUAUACAUACACAUAUGCAAAAGACUAAUAUGCCCUCGCCAACUCAUUCCAUGUGAUGUGUUAGGCUUUUUGAUACACACAUACCACUAUGACAUGUAUUAUGAUUCGAAAGAUCUUAAAAUAAAUCACAUUUAAGCAAAUUAUGCAGAUAAUCCGUAUUUUACAAAUAUAAAAUACCAUAUUUUACCAUUUAUUUGUUUCCCUUAGAAAUCAAUAUUGAAUAUGGAAAUUUUAAAUUUAAUAAUGAGUCCAAUAUGGAAUCCAUAUAACGUCCUUUUUUGGUUUCACAAAAUUAAUCUGCUACCAGCGGUACACAUUAACCAAAGUUAUCUAAUUACCCGAUUAAGAGCACCUUUUUAUGGUAUCCUUAUCAAUCAUAUCAAUACAUUUAAUUCUUAUUAUUAUGUCGAUUUAAUCAUAUUUUUGUCUGUAUAUAUUUGAAACAUAUGAUAAUCAGUAUUUCUUUACAGCAUUAUGUGGUUAUUGUGGAUCUGAAUAAUCUCACGUAAGUUGAAUUUCGAAUAUUCAAUUACAUAAUUCAAUCCCCAGGACACUCUCUGCAUCUCAAUUCUGCUUCUUAAUUUCGGAUAUUCAAUUACCGACUUCAAUCCUUCGGUAAGUUUCUCAUGAUUAUAUAUGAUUGCUUCUCAAUGUUUUUGUUAAUCGUAUAAUUGAAAAUUCUUUUCUUCUUCUGAAUUCUGCGACUUAAAUUCUGCUUCUCAUUGUUUUUGUUACUCUCAACAUCUGGUUGUUACUACCUACUGCUAAAGAUUGGCCAUUAGGAACGAUGAAAUACUUUUUACACCCGGUCCACUUUCAUAGGCUUGAUGUUUUGAUAGACGUUUUUCAUGUAAAGAUUGUAUCAAAACCUACAUGACUAAAAGAUGGAUGAACAUAUUAAGUGACAUGGAAUUAAAGGUUAACACUAAGUAAAUAGUAGAAGGGUAAUGCAAAAAAGAGAAUUUCGUAUUUAGUAAUAUUAACAACUAAAAAUGGUUCUGUUUAAGCGUACAUCAUAUCUUAUUUCCCUUUAAUUAAUAUGUUUUUGGUGUAAACCGGUUCAAAUCAAUGACAAAUAUGUAAUUCUGUCAAACAUGACAGAAAUGCCCCUUAAGAAAAAAUAGUACCUACCAGUCAAGUAAUACAAAAUACAAUCAACUAAUAAUAAAGAAGAAAAAAUAUAACAAAAAAACAGAAACAAAAAUGUAUUUCUAUAAAACGUGACAGAAAUGCCCACGAACUAAAAAAACAGAAAUAUAAAUUUUUAUUUCUAUUCGUAUUGGUUUUGAUUGUACUUUUAGCUUUCUUUGUGUAAUCCCUCAAUGAAUCUGAAAUACAAACAAAAUAAAGGCAAAAUAAAUUAUGAAAAUGUACAAGUUUGUAGUAUAUUACAGUACAAGGGCUUUUGUGUCAUGUUUUACACAAAUUUUGAAAAAGUUUUUCAGAGAUGGGUUGAUGAAGAAACAUGAGACGAACCAAUUUUUUUUUACUUGGUGAUUCGUCAACUAAUGACAGUAAAAAAAUUGUAUUUCUGUAAAAAAGAAAAAAAAAAUUAUUUAUGUAAAAAUUGUUUCUCUAGUCCAUAUAAAAUAUAACAUUUUCAUUUAUACCACAGUUUCAACCCAUAAAUUACCAUUAUACCCUUCAGCAAUAGUACCUUAUUUCAAAAUAGUACCUACCAGUCAAGUAAUACAAAAUACAAUCAACUAAUAAUAAAGAAGAAAAAAUAUAACAAAAAACAGAAACAAAAAUGUAUUUCUAUAAAAUGUGACAGAAAUGCCCCCGAACUCAGAAAACAGAAAUAUAAAUUUUUAUUUCUAUUCGUAUUGGUUUUGAUUGUACUUUUAGCUUUCUUUGUGUAAUCCCUCAAUGAAUCUAAAAUAUAAACAAAAUAAAGGCAAAAUAAAUUUUGAAAAUGUACAGGUUUGUAGUAUAUUACAGUACAAAGGCUUUUCUGUCAUGUUUUACAUAAAUUUUGAAAAAGUUUGUAAUAGAAAUUAAAUUAAUUUGAAAUUUGAAUGUAAUUUGUUAUUAGUGGCAAGUGAUUACAGGUUUUAAUAGGAAUAAUACCCUUUUUACCCCUUAAUUUAUAUUUGAUCAUGUUAUACGAUUUAUUAAUUGUAAAGGCCAAAUUUGUAUUUGUGGUUCUAUCUUUAUGUGCCUAUAUUUGUAUGUGAAUCAAUCUUUGUACUUCCAUCAAUAACUCAAUUUUUUUUUUCUGCAUUUUUUAACUAUGUUUGUAUACUCCAAUUGUGGUUCUAUAUUAGUAAAAUACCGUAUUUACCCUUGUGCAUAUCUGUUUAUGUGUCUGUAUUUCACUCUAUCUUUAUGUUUGUUUUACAUUUUUAAACUAUGAAAUAUACUCCAAUUUCGAUUUUUUUCAUUCUUUAACUAUGAAGUAUAUCAAAUUGGACUAAUUUACCCCUACCCCUGCCUGGAUUUUUAUUAAUUUACGGUUUAUUUUGUGUAAGCCCUUGCUUCUCAAUGUCCUUUGUUGUUGUUGCUUCUCAAUGUCCUUUGACCAUUCUUUGUAUCUGGGAAUCCACAUUUUUAACAAUGACCUAAACAGAAAACAUAGAACUAAAAUAAGAACAGCAAAAAACGACUGCAAAAAAAAUCAUAAGAAAUUACAACAAAAAGUUGCACUAAAAUAACAAGUUAAAAAUUUAGACAUCAGGACUUUGAAAAUUGUAAAAACUAAUUGGUAUGCACGCAACUAAAGCUGAAUUUUAACUCAGUUUAUUGCUCUAAUAUCUCUAACUGCUAGACUUAUAACAAAAUACAAACUUGUCUCUUAAGCAUAAUGGUGCAUCUCAUGAUAAAAAGCCAUUAAUGAUCCUUAUGAAACAAUUGGAGAUUUGAAAUCAUGAAACCAUCGUCUUUUUUUUUUCAAUCUCAUUUCACACUUUCAAAGGUUCAAAAAACUAAAUAAGAAACAGCUUCAAUUACCAGUGAAUCGGAGGUAAUCAGUAGCCUUUUGUACUUUGCUAAAAUUUCAUUAGAAAAGCCCAAAUCUGACUUUGUGGUUCUAUAAUAGCAUUUCUGUACAAUCAAUAGAAGCGUUUCAUUUUGAAUUUCGAUUUUUUGUAUUUUUUAACUAUUAAAUAUACUCCAAUUGUUUUGAAUUUCGAUUUUCUGCAUUUUUUUAACUAUGUUUGUAUACUAUAAUUGUGGUUCUAUAUUGGUAAAAUAUCGUAUUUAACCUUGGGCAUAUCUGCGUAUGUGUCUAUAUGUCACCAUAUCUAUAUGUUUGUUUUACAUUUUUAAACUAUGAAAUAUACUCCAAUUUUGAUUUUUUGCAUUCUUUAAGUAUGGAGUAAAUCAAAUUGGACUAAUAUACCCCUACCCCUGCCUGGAUUUUUAUUAAUUUAAGGUUUAUUUUGUGUAAGCCCCUGCUUCUCAAUGUCGUUUGUUGCUGUUGUUAUUUAUCUUUAUAUUAGUAAAAUACCAUUAUUACCCUUUAUGUCUAUUUUAUUAGAGGAUAUGGUUUUUUAAUUGUAAAGGCCGAAUUUUUCUUUGUGGUUCUAUAUUAGCAUUUUUUUAACUAUUAAAUAUACUCCAAUUGUAUUGAUUUUCAAUUUUCUGAAUUUUUUAACUAUGUUUGUAUACUCCAAAUUUGUAGUUUUUUUAUUUAUUAUAGUACAAUCUUAAUGCUUGUAGUUUCUUUAUUUAUUAUAGUACAAUCUUAAUGUUUGUGUUGCAUUGAUUCAGUUUGUGAUUGAAGUGUUAUAUAAUAAUCCAAGGACAUAAUGGUAAUAUUCACUCAACAAAAAUUACCAUUAAUAUAUUUUCUCUUAUUUUUCUUAUAUUUCAGAUAUUAACAAUUAACAUGGAUGUUUAUAAGACUAAUAAGAAGAUAAAAUUCAAUAAUUUCUAUCUUGAUAAUAAAAACAUAUACCGAUGUACACUACAUCAGUCGAUCAAAUUCUAUGUUCUACAAAUGUUAGUAACCCGGGAUCUAACGGUACGUUCAAUAAAUUUGUUAUUGUUUUCUUUAUAAAUUUUUUAAAUCUCAAUUAGCACUAUUUUAUGUCUCUCUCUCUCUCUCUCUCUCUCUCUAUAUAUAUAUAUAUNAUUUGGACAAUAUAAAAAAGGUAUGACCAAAUGAAUCCAUUCAAUUUCAUCUAUGUGACAUCUUUUGAAAAUGAAAUGAAAAGAUAACCUACUUAAUUGUUUGUACACAUUUUUUUAUCAAUUAAAUAUAAAAGUAAUUAAUUUGAAAUGUUUUUUUUUUAAAGUAAUAUGUAUUUAUCAAUAUUAAUAUUCAUAUAUUAUCUAUCGAUUUGUAAUAUUAUUUAAUUUUUUUUAAUAAUUUUUAUUAUUUUUUUCUCAAUACAAAUUUAAAGGAGUUGUCCAUCGAAGUAAAAACGUAUCCGCAUCUACAUCAAGUGCCAAUGUUUCAAAAAAAUCAAUGUUACCAAAUCAUCCUUCACAUUAAAAUAUUAGAACUCCUUUAUCUAACAUUUCCAAUGAUAAGUCAUUUAUUUGUUUAAUUUAAUUUUAUAAUCGACAAUCUUAUUGUAUCAUAUAUAAUAUUGUUUACCUUCAAUUUUCUUUUCCCAGUCAUGGAUAUUUCCAAUAACAGUUUUCAAUCACCGUCAACAAACAUCGGCUUGGAUUCAAACGGUAACAUACACCAUUGUUUUUACACUUUCUUUCUAUUCUUCAAACAAUUACACUAUUAUUUAUAAUUUAUACAUUUCUUAUAAUGAUUUUUUUACAGAAAGAUUCAAAGGAGUGGUCAAUCGAAAGAAAAACAUAUGCACAUCUAUGUCAAAUGGGAAUAUGUCAAAACAACCAAUGUUACAAACAUCUUCAUAUUUAAAUUUUAGAACUCUGUUAUCUAACAUUUCCAAUGGUAUCUCAUUAAUAUUUUUAUUUUAUAAUACAUAUAUUGUCAUUGUAUCAUCUACCCUAAUAAAUGAAAAUGUUAUUGCCACUUGUCAUUCUCUCA
rnacentral:lncRNA from 1 species